rnacentral:rRNA from 1 species
UACGUAGGGGGCGAGCGUUGUCCGGAUUUACUGGGCGUAAAGAGCGCGCAGGCGGUCGUUCAAGUCGCGUGUGAAAGCCCUCGGCUCAACUGGGGAGGGUCACGCGAUACUGAUCGACUCGAAGGCAGGAGAGGGUAGUGGAAUUCCCGGUGUAGUGGUGAAAUGCGUAGAUAUCGGGAGGAACACCAGUGGCGAAGGCGACUACCUGGCCUGUUUCUUGACGCUGAGGCGCGAAAGCUAGGGGAGCAAACGGG